UAUGUAGGGUGCAAGCGUUAAUCGGAAUUACUGGGCGUAAAGCGUGCGCAGGCGGUUUUGUAAGUCUGUCGUGAAAGCCCCGGGCUCAACCUGGGAAUUGCGAUGGAGACUGCAAGGCUUGAAUCUGGCAGAGGGGGGUAGAAUUCCACGUGUAGCAGUGAAAUGCGUAGAUAUGUGGAGGAAUACCGAUGGCGAAGGCAGCCCCCUGGGAUAACACUGACGCUCAUGCACGAAAGCGUGGGGAGCAAACAGG
rnacentral:rRNA from 1 species